UACAGAGGGUGCGAGCGUUAAUCGGAAUUACUGGGCGUAAAGCGUGCGUAGACGGCUAUCUAAGUCGGGUGUGAAAGCCCCGGGCUCAACCCGGGAAGUGCAUUCGAUACUGGCAGGCUUGAGUACGGGAGAGGGUCGCGGAAUUCCCGGUGUAGAGGUGAAAUUCGUAGAUAUCGGGAGGAACACCAGUGGCGAAGGCGGCCACCUGGACGGAUACUGACGCUGAGACGCGAAAGCGUGGGUAGCAAACAGG
rnacentral:rRNA from 1 species